rnacentral:lncRNA from 1 species
GAGGCAGAUACCUGGAGCCACGACCCCAGAUGGCAAACAAUUAAAGAGAGAAUAAGAGGGGAAAGGACCCCCCUGUGGUGUGGCCUCGAUAAGAAACAACAUGGCCUCUUGGGGUCAUGGGCUCGUCUUUCAUUCUGGAUGUCCAUGAUUUGGAAAAAGGCAACGAAGACGAAUGAGGCAACUCCAACAUGGCAAGAUAGCCAGCGGGUGUGAAUGCAGCAGAGCAACGUGAGGCCCCGCCCAGGGAUCCCAGGAUUUACCAACAGAAGUCACAACACUGGCAUGGCGCCUGGGGGCUCCACCAGUCAAGCGUCCAGCUCUUGAUCUCAGU